ensembl:lncRNA
GAUGGUGGCCAAGGCAAGAGGACCAUGAGCCAGCAGUGUGCUUUGGUGGCCAAGAAGGUCAAUGGUGGCCUGGGCAGGAGGAGGACUAUGAGCCAGCAGUGUGCUUUGGUAGCCAAGAAGGCCAAUGGUGGCCUGGGCAGGAGGAGGACCACAGGACAGCAGCGUGCUUUGGUGGCCAAGAAGGUCAAUGGUGGCCUGGGAAGGAGGACCACGAGCCAGCAGUGUGCUUUGGUGGCCAAGAAGGCCAAUGGUGGCCUGGGAAGGAGGACCAUGAGCCAACAGUGUGCUUUGGUAGCCAAGAAGGCCAAUGGUGGCCUGGGAAGGAGGACCAUGAGACUGCACUGUGCUUUGGUGGCCAAGAAGGCCAACAGUGGCCUGGGCAGGAGGACCAUGAGACAGCAGUGUGCUUUGGUGGUCAAGAAGGCCAAUGGUGGCCUGGGAAGGAGGACCAUGAGCCAACAGUGUGCUUUGGUAGCCAAGAAG